GGUCGGAUAUGACCAUUACCAAGUAACUAAACCAUAGCUCUCAGUUUACAAAACGUAGCUCUCAAUUGACAAAAUAUCCUACACAUACCCAACCAUCAAAUAUAAAACACAAAGAUUAAUUGAAGCAAUUUGAUUCUUUUUUAUAAUAUUAUCAAAAAAUCUUUAGGAUGGUAGAAUUUACCAAAAUGUAUUGUUUUUUCUUUCUCUAAUGUAUAACACUCACUAAUGAUUAGUAUUUUAUGGCUAAAUAAAAUUAUUUAUUCAUAUAAAACAUUAGGAAAUGGUGCUCUGUAGAUUUUGGUAACUAGUUAAAGAAAAAUUUAAAAACUAAAUCAUGAUUUUUGAAUUUC
rnacentral:lncRNA from 1 species